rnacentral:rRNA from 1 species
UACGUAGGGUGCGAGCGUUGUCCGGAAUUACUGGGCGUAAAGAGCUCGUAGGUGGUUUGUCGCGUUGUCCGUGAAAACUCACAACUCAAUUGUGGGCGUGCGGGCGAUACGGGCAGACUGGAGUACUGCAGGGGAGACUGGAAUUCCUGGUGUAGCGGUGGAAUGCGCAGAUAUCAGGAGGAACACCGGUGGCGAAGGCGGGUCUCUGGGCAGUAACUGACGCUGAGGCACGAAGGUCAGGGGAGCAAACGGG